rnacentral:rRNA from 1 species
AAUGUACGCUGGCGGCGUGCCUAACACAUGCAAGUCGAACGAAGGCUUCGGCCUUAGUGGCGCACGGGUGCGUAACGCGUGGGAAUCUGCCCUCAGGUUCGGAAUAACAGCGAGAAAUUGCUGCUAAUACCGGCUGAUAUCGCGAGAUCAAAGAUUUAUCGCCGGAGGAUGAGCUCGCGUAGGAUUAGCUAGUUGGUGUGGUAAAGGCGCACCAAGGCGACGAUCCUUAGCUGGUCUGAGAGGAUGAUCAGCCACACUGGGACUGAGACACGGCCCAGACUCCUACGGGAGGCAGCAGUGGGGAAUAUUGGACAAUGGGCGAAAGCCUGAUCCAGCAAUGCCGCGUGAGUGAUGAAGGCCUUAGGGUUGUAAAGCUCUUUUACCCGGGAUGAUAAUGACAGUACCGAGAGAAUAAGCUCCGGCUAACUCCGUGCCAGCCGCCGCCGUAA